GACGAACGCUGGCGGCGUGCUUAACACAUGCAAGUCGAACGAAGUGGCGAACGGGUGAGUAACGCGUAUUCAACCUGCCCUUCAGAGGGGGACAACAGUUGGAAACGACUGCUAAUACCGCAUACUGCAGGAAGGGCUUGCGUCUGAUUAGCGAGUUGGAGGGGUAACGGCCCACCAAGGCGAUGACAAGUAGCAGGGCGUAGCGGAUGGACGGCCACAUUGGGACUGAGACACGGCCCAGAAUCCUACGGAAGGCAGCCGUGGGGAAUCUUGCGCAAUGGACGAAAGUCUGACGGAGCAACGCCGCGUGGGUGAUGACGGCCUUCGGGUUGUAGAGCUCUGUUAAUCGGGACGCGGUACCGGAAUAGAAAGACACAGGUAACUACGUGCCAGCAGCCGCGGUAAUAC
rnacentral:rRNA from 1 species